GUAUGCAAUUGUAUCUCAGUUGGUAGAGAGCACUUUGUGUUGGGAGGCACUUAGUGUAUUGGAAGCCCUCUUGCAGAGCUGUAGCUUACCUGGAUCACAUCCGCAUGAGCCAGGACAGUUUGAGAAUGGACUUGCUGGCUCUGAAGAGAAGAUUCUUGCGCCUCAGACCUCAUUUAAGGCUCGAAGUGGGCCAUUGCAGUAUGCGAUGCUCGGACUUGGAGCUGGCUCCACAGCAGUAGUCCAACCUAAUGCAUCUGAAUCAGGUUUAUCAGCGAAAGAAUUAGCGCUUCAAAACACAAGGCUGAUGCUAGGUAGAGUGCUUGACAGUUGUGCACUUGGGAGGAGAAGAGAUUACAGAAGAUUGGUUCCUUUUGUGACUAGUACUGGGAAUCCAUAGAGGUCAUUUUGCACAUUAUUUUGGUAGCACGAAGUUUGAAUAUUUGCAGUACAG
rnacentral:misc_RNA from 1 species